UACGGAGGGUGCGAGCGUUGUCCGGAAUCACUGGGCGUAAAGGGCGCGUAGGCGGCGCGGAAAGUCGUCGGUGAAAGCUCGGGGCUCAACCCUGAGUCUGCCGGUGAUACUCCCGCGCUCGAGCUCACUAGAGGCAGAUGGAAUUCCGGGUGUAGCGGUGGAAUGCGUAGAGAUCCGGAGGAACACCAGUGGCGAAAGCGGCCACCUGGACUGCACCUGACGUUGAAACGCGAAAGCUAGGGGAGCGAACGGG
rnacentral:rRNA from 1 species